CCUACGGGAGGCAGCAGUGGGGAAUAUUGGACAAUGGGGGAAACCCUGAUCCAGCGACGUCGCGUGAGUGAAGAAGGAUUUCUGUACUUAAAGCUCCAUCUACAUGGAAGAAAAUGACGGUACCUGACUAAUAAGCUCCGUCUAACGCCGUGCCAGCUGCCGCGGUAAUACGUAGGGUGCAAGCGUUAUCCGGAUUUACUGGGCGUAAAGGGAGCGUAGACGGCUGCGCAAGUCUGUAGUGAAAUGCUGGGGCCCAACCCCGGAACUGCUCUGGAAACUGUGACGCUGGAGUGCAGGAGAGGUAAGCGGAAUGCCUGGUGUAGCGGUGAAAUGCAUAGAUAUCAGGAGGAACACCGGCGGCGAAGGCGGCUUACUGGACUGUAACUGACAUUGAGGCUCGAAGGCGUGGGGAGCAAACAGGAUUAGAUACCCUUGUAGUC
rnacentral:rRNA from 1 species